rnacentral:rRNA from 1 species
UACGAAGGGGGCUAGCGUUGCUCGGAAUUACUGGGCGUAAAGCGCACGUAGGCGGCUCUUUAAGUCGGAGGUGAAAUCCUGGAGCUCAACUCCAGAACUGCCUUCGAUACUGAAGAGCUCGAGUCCGGGAGAGGUGAGUGGAACUGCGAGUGUAGAGGUGAAAUUCGUAGAUAUUCGCAAGAACACCAGUGGCGAAGGCGGCUCACUGGCCCGGUACUGACGCUGAGGUGCGGAAGCGUGGGGAGCAAACAGG